CCAUGGUACGUUGAAACACCGGUUCACGUACGAUCACCGAAGUUAAGCAACGUCGAGCCUGCUCAGUACCUAGAUGGGUGAACGCUUAGGAAUACUUGGUACUGUAA